GAUUCCGUAGCUCGACAGGACCAGGGUGCAGGCGUUUGAGGCUUGUGGUUACCGGUUCAGACCCGGCCGGGAUCACCA
rnacentral:tRNA from 1 species